UACGAAGGGGGCUAGCGUUGUUCGGAAUUACUGGGCGUAAAGCGCACGUAGGCGGACUAUUAAGUCAGGGGUGAAAUCCCGGGGCUCAACCCCGGAACUGCCUUUGAUACUGGUAGUCUCGAGUCCGGAAGAGGUGGGUGGAAUUCCGAGUGUAGAGGUGAAAUUCGUAGAUAUUCGGAGGAACACCAGUGGCGAAGGCGGCUCACUGGUCCGGUACUGACGCUGAGGUGCGAAAGCGUGGGGAGCAAACAGG
rnacentral:rRNA from 1 species